GAUUUCGGGGCGUGGGGAGGAGGGGACGAGAGCGUGGGGCGCAGCCCGGCGGCGGCAAAGAGAGCCAGACGAGCCUCCCUGCCUCUCCCACUCAGGUACCAGUCUACUCCCUCCUUCUGUCUACUGCCCCACCUAGCCCAUGAGCUCCUCCUGCGGUUCCGGGUCGUCAGAGGGGGUUUAGAGCAGCGGAGCCCGCACCUCCGCUCGAAGGGCCGCUGCAUCCGCAUCGCGGCGGUUCUCCAGUCGUUGCUCCUCCAAGUCGUCAGGCAAAGCAGCAGGAGCAGGGAUCCGCAGACAACGACCUCUCUUCCUGCGGUUCCGGGUCGUCAAACACUGCCGGGGUGGCCUGCUGCCUGGGCCGCCCUGUCGCCCGAGAUCGAAAGAGAGGGAAGAAGAAGUAGACCUGUCUCUUACUGAGACGAGUCUACGUAUCAGUCCGUUGAGUGGCCUCUCUCGACCCUACCUCCGCUGAGACUCCUUCUACUUCCGGUUCUCGCCACGGCGACGGCCCCUCUCCUCCGGCCACGACAGCUCCUGUUAUGACGAGGAGACGCGGACGUCGAAGUAGGAACCGCACGAGAAGUGGCUGGCCAAGUCUCGCUACGGCCUAAAUUUCUCGGUCCACCACCGCGUCGACGCCACUGUCCUUCUCCUCGACGUCUAGCAAAGACUUCUAAAACAACGCUAGCUGUCGUAGGUAAAAAACCGAGGACCAAAUAAAGUCUUUUUCUUGUUUGCUCCAAAAACUUCUAUUAUAUUUUAGUACAAUAAAAAAUUUCUCGCUCAAUACCUCACUUUUACCUAUAAAAUUAUUCUUCUAUUAGACUACAAGAAGUCAAAGGAGAAACCAAACAUUAAGACACUUGUAGGAAAGAACUAAAGUCUUUGGUAGGCUGCUGUCCCUGCACUACCCCUUCACCGUUUCUGAGUACUCCGGUAUGUGUACCCUAAUCCUGCUGUGUGAUACGGUACAUGUGUUUUCCCUCCGUACCUUCACCUGCAGCUCGUUUGUCUGCCCCAAGGAGUAGGGGUUCUUUUGGGAUCGGAUCGCGAGACCCUACUACAACCACUAGCGCCGCCGCGGCCGGACCCGGGUUUCCGCGCGAAGCAGGAACUACCACCUCGUGUCCACCCUCUGUCUCCCAGCCAGGGGCAGCUUCCACGUCGACAAAGAUACGAAGGUUUAGGUGGUUCGCCACUCCUACUACUCCCUCCUAUCCGGAAAUGCGUACCGUCGCCCGCGCUCUCGUGUUCUUCUCCGGGUUGCUACGUUGUGGACGACCGACCGACGAGGAAGAGGGCGGUCUAUAAAUCUGUUCAACUAGCGGUGCGACGUCUACCUCAACCGUCGCGCCAAGUCGUUCGUACUCGACGAACUCUCACGCCUACCGUUCCGUCCUUUCCUUUUUCCGAAAAUACCACUAGUCCUAGUUAUGGCGCAAGUCAUCGUUCUUCGCGGCACUAAGACAGUCCCUCUCUACCUACGGAGUUCUACUCUUUGAGUUCUUUGACCUUCUCCUUUUCCCUCAGCAGUAAGCUAAAUACUAACCCGUAUCCAUUCCAAUGACCGUGAUUCCAAGUUAUAUAUUAUUGAACAAACGACUUUUUUUUAGUAUUCUACUCCAGGGCAUUUUCUGUUUAGCAUUGUAUCUUGUGUAUAUAACAUUUAUAGAGGUACCUUUCGAAUGUAUAAAAUCUGUUAUUUUCCUUGGGCAUUUCGGAGUUACAAUAUUUGUCCACGUCUACCCCAAAGGGAUUAAGGGAUAGAAAUUUGUCCUGUGGUGAACAGAUUAACGAUGUCUCAAUCUUUCAUUAACCUGUCAUUCAUCUAUUCCUGUAUUUAGACGAUAAGCAACACGUCGAUACUCAGUUGACACGUACUUGACUUUUCCCUUCUAACUUGUUCAAGACUCGACGAUAGACCUUGGUAUUCAUACGUUCAAAAUGUUUUAUCAAACCUACUUUUUCGUUUUGUUAUGUUCCUCGGACGCAUCUACGUGUAUAAAAACUACUUAUUGUGAGUAAAAUCACAAUAUAGAGUCGAACAUACAGUCAUUCACACAUUCAAAUCAGAUUAUGAGCGAAAAGAAAAAGGAGUCUAGUUUUCGGUUCCUAAACAACCCACUAUCGAACUAAGAUUCCGUAAUUAUCUAAAUGUUGUGAAGGUUUUUAAAUGACCGUAAAACAUAAUAUAAAUAAGUUCAGCGACUAACUAAGAACUGGUAGUGAACUAGUUGAUAUAAGUAAAAGAUUAUGUUUCGGUGAAGCGAUUAAUAGAAUACUGAUAACUUCCCAAAUUUUACACUCAUACUACACGCACCUCUCUAACAGUAGGUACGAGUCCAUAAAGUUCACUGGUUGUUCACAAUAAAGUCAUUAAACUUUAGAGGACAUAAGUCUCAAAUCAGUUGAGAAUCAGUACAAGAAAUUAUUAGUAAUCCAGAUUAUUUUCAAAUCUUGCUACGUGAUAAAAAGACUUAAAACUGAUCCGUUCACGUAGAAACCAACGCGGCUAGCCUAGCCUAAGUUACGCAUGUAGCAUAACUACCUGACGACUGGCGAAGUAGACCACAAAGGAGACAGCACACUCAACGUACAACAAAACUCUCGAACUUCGUUCGUCUUUCGGCUACCUCCCCGAAUCCCUACUACUUUCGUAAUCACUGCUGUAGUCCGCUCUCUCAUAGCUCUGACGUUUAGCGAAAGGACAAAGACGUAAAGAAUGACAUAUACAUUGAAACCGUCAUAAGUCUAGCAUAUCGGAUGCCCCUCGUCACCUUUUGUAUUAAACAACUACGAAUUUUAAACCUCACCAUACAAACUAUGUAGACGCGACAACUGUGCCAGAAGAAAUUACUUAUUGUUCCAUCAUGUCAUCUUAACAUUGAAAUCUCGGGACGUUUGACAGACACGUUUAAUACUACGACCAAAUAUCUUGAUUUAAACACCACACGGACAUAAAAUAGAAAUCAAUAUCCAAAGAGCCUUCGAAAUGACACCCGACACAAUGAACGGUUUGUUCAAGAUUCGUGUUCAGUCUAGGAAAGUACCGAAGGGAAUAUUCUACUAUAUGUUCCUUCAAAUAACGAAUCACAUUAAUCUGUUCACGAACCUAAUAAGACAUCACUUUUAUUACACUAAAAGGUAGAAGAAAGACAAGAAUCUAGUCGAGUGGAAUCCGGAAUCGGUAUGUUUCAUUAAACACUUCUAUAUACAAGGAAUCAAACUAGGGUGGAAGGGACUAAUUUGUAUACAGCAAUGAGCUAAACUAAUAACAUAAUCACAGAGAAUUCAAGCGACCUUAGCGAACUACAAAGGAAACUUAAAUCUUCUUCCCUAAGGUCGGUAUUCUAAGAAUUCAAGCAACCGAGACGCCGGCGUAGUACCGUUCUGCCGGUGUUCCGUCGACAACGAAGGUCCGUGUCUUUCCGGUGGCUAGCCUAGUCGUGCGUUCUUUGGGCAAGCCUAGCGGCGGCGUUCGGAGCGAAGUCGUUGUCUAGUCGGAGACGUGGAUGUAGGUGAAGCUGUCCGACAGUCAGUUUCAAAUAAAGUUUAAGGUUAGAUCUUAUCAAUGUGAAAAAGCGGAGAUGCACGGACGAAGAAGAUCGUCUCAACGUAAAGAGGAUAAAAGUUUCGAAGUUUAUUGAGCUAAACUAAUUUUUAGUAAGUAUCCCCUUGGGUCGACCUUCAAAACUACUAGUAACGUGUACCCCAUUGUUUCACUUCGAAAUGUUUCUAGUUCAGUCUUUUAACUUCGCAGAGUAGAGACGCUUUUUCAGUGUGUAGUUAACAAUGUAAACGGUGUACUCGGAAGUUUAUGGAUACCUUCAUAUGGUACGUUCGUAAUGCGCUGUUACUGUGAGAGAAAUAAGGAUGCAAGUGUGGAAGACUUUUGGUCAGUCUGAUUCUACUGAUUUAUUCGAGAUGUUGACGGAUACAUACACAAAGACAUUUUGCUAGUUGGAGUGAGAUGAUAUACACUAUUUAAGUGUAACGUAAUACAAACAUCGAUGUAGGGGAUGGAUAAGUGAUGAUUGUAGCGAUGAUUGACCGACGAAUGCGGUAACCGCGUUGGCCCAGUAGAUCAAUUUGUAUAUUUCCUACUCGAUCACGCGGGUUGGUCGCCGUGGUCGGUGCAGAGGAAAAAACGUAGAUACUUACAGGGCUCGCGAGAGAAAGGGGAAAGGAGAGGGAGCACGAAAGGAAAGGAGCGGCGGCGGUGAGGUAGGAUCGGCGGAGGAGAGGAGCGCGGCGGUGGCGAAGGUGGGAGGGAGACCCGGCGGAGCAGAGGAGGCGGAGGCGGUGGAGGAGGAGGGGAAGGAGAGGGGGAGGGCACGGAGGCGUGGGCUGAUCGUGCCGGUCUGGUGCACUGCACCUGCUCCUCUACUGUCGAGCCCUCCGUCCGAGGAAGGUACCGCCGUGGGGUUGGACGGCCUAAAAGGAGGAGCAGUCGAGUCGCCUCUCCUCGCCACCUAGGCGGAGGAGAACCUGGAUCGCGGGCUAGGCUCCACACGCCCGCGCCUGCUCGAAGGGGACGGCCGGGCGCCGUCGCCGCUGGAUGUUCGUUUCCCGUUCCCGGUCCGCUGCCGUCUCUCUCUCUUCUACUCUCCCUCUUCUUCCUUCCUCUCCUCCCUCUUUCUCUCUCUCCUUUCUCCUCUUCCUCCGCGCCGCAGCCUACCCUCUCCCAGUGGUGGCCGGCUCCGGACGCGCACCGCCAAGCUACACUAGGAGCGCGGAAGAGAAGGAGCAGGGCGGCUGGAGUAAGAGACAAUGAGAGUACAACCGGCACCGCUGUCCAGCGCCGCCUCCUAGACCUCGACUCGGGUGCGUCAACUCCAACUCCUUCUGCCUCCACUCCCUUCGUCGUUGUUCUGACGACCGACCACUGCCCAGUCGCCGGUGCUCUCCUCCCCCUUCCCCCUACUGCAGUACGAAAGAGCGGUGGACGUGCAGGAGCAGGGUAUCAGGCGACGAGGAACAGACGCGGCAAAGUUGAGGUCGACGUCGUCACGCAGAGGUACUAGGAAGGGGAGGAGGCCGAAGAGAGGAAGGUAUCGAUGAAUACGACGUUAUCAAAGUCACGUUCAUAUCAGUCCUGUCCCUCCGUCUUCUCUCCUGUACGACUUCUUACUUCCACCUGUUUGGUCCACGUGUACUUGUCGUUCCGUACAAACCGCAGAAUGAACUGGCACGACGUCUUGUUGUAGAACACCAAGAUGGGUUCCCAACUGCGGCUCGUGGCCCCGCAUGACGUCCUCAUCGCGGGACGCAGGAAACAGUUGCAGGUAUCGUAGUUCCUGGAGGAGUGCGGGGACACGUCUACCGUGAGCGAGCACUAGUGUCCUUUGGCCUGCUGCGUACACGGGCAACAGACAGUCGCGGCUGUUCCAACCAAGAUACAAUUCCGGGACGCAGGAGUGCAUUCUCCCGUACUAAGUAUUCGUUUGUUUAUGAAGUCCGUGCUACCUAUAACUACAUCUGAUGUAGUUUCACGACGUCCUGGUUUAACUCUUUUUAACACCACCACUACUAACUAGACAUAAAAAACUUCCCCCAGUAACCAGUACUGAGGUGACAUCGUAUCACGACUACAAGACAAAAGGACGCCAACAGCGGUGACAUGAAACAAGGAACGUACUUGUUUUCUCCUAAUUACUUUGUUGUAAGCGCGACUUCUUCUUUUUCCUAUACAACGGGUAGUUAAGAUAGUAUGAGUUCUUAGCGGUAAGUAAAACACUCCAAUUUUCCUAACAGGCGAAGGAAGGAACGUACUAUUGGUGUAGUUACCUAACCACAACUUGUAUUGUUCAAGUUCCUUUUAACCUUCAUCACCGUGUGGUCGGUACUUUUCAAACUCUCCCGAUACGUUGGUGUUCUUUACUACACGAGGACAGUAAAACGGUACUAGAACACCGGGGUAAGGUGUCCACCGUGCAGUCAAGGAAUCCACCUAGGAGUCGUCUAGCUCGGCGGAGUGGGGGAACGUUCGUUUGGAACUGGUACAGACGACCGUGUACGUCGCUAGUGAGAUGGACUCAAGGUACUGACGUAUAGAAUCAGUGUUAUUCGAUUUACUGAUCUCGAUAAAUAUACUACGUAGAGAUAGAUACAUAGAACGAAAAAGUUUCGUUACAUUUACCAAACUUAACUAGAAUAGUACUUGACUAGAGUACGGAAACAAAACCGGAUAUUUGCAUUGUACGUUACAUUAUAUAUUACGAUACAUAGCUGUUGUACGACUUUAUAGAUAAAAACGAAGUUCU
rnacentral:rRNA from 1 species